rnacentral:rRNA from 1 species
UACGGAGGGAGCUAGCGUUGUUCGGAAUUACUGGGCGUUAAGCGCACGUAGGCGGCUUUGUAAGUUAGAGGUGAAAGCCCGGGGCUCAACCCCGGAAUUGCCUUUAAGACUGCAUCGCUUGAAUCCGGGAGAGGUGAGUGGAAUUCCGAGUGUAGAGGUGAAAUUCGUAGAUAUUCGGAAGAACACCAGUGGCGAAGGCGGCUCACUGGCCCGGUACUGACGCUGAGGUGCGAAAGCGUGGGGAGCAAACAGG